rnacentral:lncRNA from 1 species
AUCCUGGUGGUGUAGCUAUCUAGGGACCAAUUCGCUAUUCCUAGCUGGGGUCACAGGGAACCAACCAGUCUUCAUGUUGGAAAAAAAUGCAAUUUGGAGUAUCCACAAAACCUCCAGCGCCAAUAUCAAGGAGAUUGUAAAGAAGAUGACCCUGAACUUGGAGUAUUUGAAGGGAUGGAGCUCAGCAGCUGCCAUCACCCUCAGAAGAGAACUGCUGUCGCCUAGGUGCCCCUAACUUGCAGGUUCUCAUAGAAGCAUAUGUCCUCCAAACCACUGUGUAUUCUACACUAAAGCACUUUGAAGAGAAGUGCAGAACUCACCACACACUUCCAAAGGUACCUCUGACAACUCUCUUCCCACAGAGUCAGAACUGCAUCACAAUAUCCACGCAUGUCUGAUCGCUUCACAGAACCCCUCAGCACCACUCUGCAUUCCAGUUUCUACAAAUGUCUAAACUCCAGUGUUUAGUCUGUGGCCGUGUGUGUCACCUGGCAAUAUGGAUUUGCUCAAGAUGAGAAUCAAUGGUCCCAGGCAA